rnacentral:lncRNA from 1 species
UGUGUCCACUGUCCAGUAGUAGGAGCAGGACUGAUUAUGGAGGCUGACAUGUGAACACUCCCCAUAUUAUGAGCUUCUUCAUGCAAUCUUGAUGCCUGUUUCUCUUCAUGGUCUGCAGGCCACCUUUGAACAUGUUUUUUAUGAGAUUAUCAUUGAAGUGUGCUGCUACCAUAGGUUUUAAUGAACUCUUAUGCCAAGCAGAUGUAGUCUGUGGUACAACUGUUGCAUUUGAUGCAUUAGUACUGGAAGUAUGAUUUGUACCAGGUGAUGGACUUCUCUGGAUGUUUAAGCACUGAAGACUGAGGAGAGACAGGCUGGUGACCCUGCUGAUUGUCAGCAGUUAUAGGUUGUGGUGUGGCCGAUUGUGACACUGGUCCUUGCUUAACUACUGGAGUACUAACCUAUGAUGAAACAGGUGGAGUUUCAUCAAAGGUUUGAUAGGGACUGUGUUAGUUUGAGAUGUGCUUAUUCUUGGAGACACGUAGGAUCUUGGGGAGGAAGCAUCAGAAGUUAGAGACUGAUUAGAUGUCUGGGCUUGUGUAGAGAGCAGGGCAGCUUGAGAAAUCAGAGAGGUGAUGUUGAAAGUAGAUGGUCCAGCAGUAAGAAAAGUGUGGAUGAUAGACUGCAGGGAAGCCUUAUUACGGCUGCAGUAAGAACAUCAUUUAUUUUGGAUAUUAGAAUUAUCAAGCUGUAGUGUGGCCUGUAAAACAGGAAGCAACUGUCUAAGAAGACUUGGGUCCUGAAGUAAUGGAGGUAUUGGUGAUUGUGGAACGGGAGAAACAGGUAUUGUUGAAGCAUAUGUUGGAGGUGGAGUUGUGGGUUUCACAUCAGAGGCUGAAGAUGUGGAAGGAGUUGUGCAAGAAUGUGAUACUGAUUUGUCUCCUGGAGCAGACUCCCCACUGGUGAACUGACUAGUGGCUGUUGCUUGCAUGACCUCUCUUUUAUAAUCCCCAUCUUUUGGGAAACUAUUAGCUGCCAACUUAUUUGCUUCUUUUUGUCUCUGUUCUCUUUCAAGACACUCUUUGGGUUUUUUACACUGUGAAACUUUUUUUUCCUUUUUGUAUUAGAAAAUUAUUUUACAUGUCAAUCCCAGGUCCCUCUACCACCCCUCCUCCCCUGCCCCCCCCAACUAAUGUCCUACCAU